UCCUUAACCCACUGAGCAAGGAAAGGGAUCGAACCCGUAACCUCAUGGUUCCUAGUCGGAUUCAUUAACCACUGAGCCACGACCGGAACUCCUUCCGUUUGUUUUCUUGAUAAGAGAUAUUUAUUGCUAAUAUUUCCCUUUGUUUUCUUGACAAGGUCCCAUCAUUUAUUUGGAAUCAAGAGAGUAUGUCUUUUGUAAUGACUGAGAUUUUGCAGACCUCAAAUUUAGUGUGAUGACACCUAUCUUUAAAACACUGAACCGGGGCUCACCUAUAGGUAGGAUACAUUUAAGAAGGAAGAGUGUGUGGCCCCUUUAGUUAAGAAGAAAUUGAAAUGAAUUGGUUUUGCAUUUGUCCCUCAUAUGCGAGGGGGAUUGAUUCCAGGACCUCCCCACCCCUGCCCACUGAGGGAUACUAAAAUCUGCCAAUGCUCAAGUCGUUUAUAUAAAAUGGUUUAGUACCUGCUUUAAACUCCACACAUCCUACUACUGUAUACUUUAAAGCAUCUGUAGAUUACUUAGAAUACUAAAUAAGACGUAAAUGCCAUAAAAUGUAAAUAGUUGUAAAUAUUAUAUAAUCAGUGCAUGAAUUCAAGUUUUGUUUUUUGGAACUUUCUGGAAUUUUUUGCCCCUGAAUAUUUUUGACCCACGUUUGGUUGAAUCUGAGGAUGAGGAACCUGUGGAUAUGGAGGGCCGACUUGUACAUACUUACCUGUUAAAGACCUGGGGUCUUAGUUGGGCCUUAGUUAAAUGGGAAUCAGUUAAGUGCCACAAUCAUCAAACAGACAUGAAUCUGAGAGGCAGAAUCAGGUGACCAUCAUGUGGGAUUUUCUGCUCUGCGCUCCAGUCUUGUGUAAUUUGGGAUCCUAGAUUAAUUUAAAAAGCACCUUUUUAGGAGUUUCUUGGUGGUUCAGCAGGUUAAGGAUCUGGUGUUGUCACUGCUGUGGCUUGGGCCACUGCUGUGGCGCAGGUUCUACCCCUGUCCCGGGAACCUCCACGUGCCAUGGGCACAGCCAAAAAACCCAAAACACCUUUUUAGGAUACUAAGAGCAAUAAAAAUGGGAGAAAUAUUGCUGUGGCUGUGGUGUAGGCUGGCAGCUGCAGCUCAGAUUCCACCCCUGGCCUGGGAACUUCCAUAUGCCACAGGGGCAGCCCUAAAAAGCAGGGAGAAAAAGGGGGGGGGCAGAUCAUCUCUUAAAGACAGAUUAGAAUAAAUAUUCAUUCAGGUUGGUGCCGGAAGGCCACUGUGUAACUAAAUAGCAAGAAACUUAAGACUCCUUAGCCUUCCAGAUAUGAAGAGAGUGAGUGAUGAGGGUCAUUAAGUUGCCGAAGGAGAUUCAGGUGAUUAGAAAGAAGGGCUAGCUAGUUGUUUUUUUCUGGGAGGGUUGGAGGUAGAGAAGUGACAGGUGAGCACAGAGAUCUCAAAUUCUCAAAUUUGAGCCAUCAAUUUUGUGUGUAUACCUGUGGGUUUCCCAAGCACGUUUAAGUUUUUUGUAACAGACUGGAAAAUUUGAGCAAUGUUGUUACUGGUUAAGCUUUUCUUUUUUGUGGGGGGGGGGAUCCCCUUAGAGAUGACAUUGGGCCUUACUGGAAACCCUCCCACCUCUGACCCGGCACAGUCCCCUCCCACCCAGUAUAGGAAACUGGUAGCUCUGUGCCCAGGGCUGGUAAUCUGUGGGUUCUGGGAUAAAUAACCCCAGCGGGCUGCCUACAGCAGGGGAAUAAAGUGACUAAGAAGAGGAGGAUACUUCAAAGUCACUGUCCCCAUAAUGCAAAUGAUGUUCCCGCAUUUUUUUCCUGGUCUGAUUUGAUAAUGAUUUCAUUUGUCAGACAUUCAGUUAGCAUGGGGAAGGUUCUCACUGCUUUUUUUCCCUCUUGUCUUUAAGGAUCAUACUUUCAGUUAAUAUUUUUAAAUGCCUACUCUGGGCCCUGGGUAUACAGUGUAAACAAGGAUGACCAAAACAGAUAUGACCCCCACUUUCAGGAAGCUCAGAGCCUUGUGGGGGAGAUGGAGACAGUAAACAAGUGAACACAUAAGUAAGCAAUCGCGUGUUGUGAUGAGUGGGGUGGAGGAAGAAGACAGGGUAUCAUAAGAGGAAGGAGCAGGAGGGACACGAUUGACAGCAGGAGGUUGCAGAUAGCCUCUCUGAGGCAGAGACCUGAAGGUUAAACAGGAAUUUUUCUAGUGAAAAAAAAAAAAAAGAGGGCACAGCCUGUGCAAAGGCCCUGAGGCAGCAAGCUGGAGCGCUUGUGUAGACUGAGGCUGGAGAGGAAGGCAGGGUUUCAUUUAAGAGCAGUAGAUGCCACGGAGUGUUGAAAGCAGAAGGGUGAUGUGAUCCAGUUUGUGAAAAGUCACUGUGGCUGUUGGGCAGAGACCAGAUUUGGGGCAGGCCUAGCCUGGAAUCUGCUGGGCAAACUGGGAGGCUGUGGCAGGAAUCUAGGCAGCAAGUGGUGCUCGGUGACGGGCGUGGCAAUGGCCAAGAGGUGGGCGGAUUUCAGAAAUAUUUCAGAGGUUCGGUUGGGGUUGGCCUGACUGGUGAUGGAUUGGACGUGGGUGGGGGUGAGUGAGAGGAAGUGAUAAGAAUGAACAAAUAAAAUAAGGAGAACUCGCUGUUGAGAUUGAACCAGGAAAUUGGUGGUUGCUUUCUUUCCCCCCCACAGUCACUGUGAUAUGAGAGUGAGGUCACCAUUACAAAGGCGACACAGGCAGCCAUACCUAUGAGUCGAGGCUCCUGUUGGAGUGACUGAGUAGGAAACACCCCUGAAACUGGGUGUGUACGUGUGUGUAUCUCCAAGUCUUUGCAGUUUUAAUACAGGCCUGGUCUUUGCAUGGUGGUAGUAUAGCUGAUGUGACCUCACCAACACAGCUGGUGAGGUCACUGCUACAAGGAAAAUAGGACUAAGAAAAAGAGCAGUGACACAGAACAUGAGGGAAAAUACACCCAUGAUUGAAAAAUGCAGCUCUGGAGGCAAGUAUGUCAACGAUUUAAAUGUUUUUCACAUCAGGGAAGGUGGUAUACCCUGAAAUCCAAACCGGGAAAGAAGGAUAAAGAGCGAGGAGAAAUUGAGGUUGACAUCCAGUUUAUGAGAAACAACAUGACCGCUAGCAUGUUUGACCUUUCCAUGAAAGACAAGACUCGGAAUCCAUUUGGGAAACUGAAGGACAAGAUCAAGGGGAAGAACAAGGACAGCGUGUCAGAUACUGCCUCAGCCAUCGUCCCCAGCGUGACACCCUCAGCCGACAGCGACGAUGAGUCGCCUUCGAAAGACAAGAAGAAGAAGUCAAAGAUCAAGACCUUGUUCUCCAAGUCCAACCUGCAGAGAACGCCGCUUUCCCAGUCCAUGUCUGUCCUGCCGACCUCAAAGGCAGACAAGGUGCUGCUUCGUCCCGGAGACUUUCAGUCACGGUGGGAGGACGAGGAUGAGGACGAGUCCUCCUCUGCUUCGGAUGUCUCAUCUCACAAAAGAACUGCCAGUGGGGAUCCUAAGCAGCUGAACCCGAUCAACUUCACCCUCCCCAAGAAGGAUGGACUCUCUUUCCUGGGAGGUCUCCGGUCUAAGAAUGAUGUCCUUUCCCGCUCCAACGUCUGCAUCAACGGGAACCACGUCUACGUGGAGCAGCCUGAAGCCAAGAGCGAGACCAAGGACAGCUCCCCGUCCUCCUCUCCAUCCCCCCAGGGCUUAAGGAAGAAGCACCUGUUCUCAUCUACAGAAAACCUGGCCACUCAGCCUUGGAAGGAGCCUGGGGAGGGAGUUGCCAUGCUUUCUGAGUCUUCCACAAAGGCCUCUCUCAAGUCCAUGUCUCUGCCAUCCUACCGGCCGGUGGUCAGUGGGGACCUUCGGGAGAACACAUCUCUGGCGACCCUGGAGGCUGCAAAAGAAACCAAAGAGAACAAGAAACAGGAGAACAAGAAGUCCUCUCUGCUGUCCCUGGUGACGGGGAAGAAGGACACGGCCAAGGGCAGUGAAGGCGAGAGCCCUCCUGCCGCCCCUGGGAAGGAGAGGGAAGGUUUGGCCUCAGGAGUCAAAGCCAGGGAGGACCAGCCAGGGCCUGUGGACAACCUUGUGAAGGAGUCAGAGAAGGAGCCAGCUGUCAUUUCUGGGCGAGGGAGAUCCUGGAACCCCUUUGAGGAUGUGCAUAUCCUAGAACCGGAAGCUGACCCCGAGCCCAAGGCUGCACCUGCACCACCUGUGGCCUCUCCGAGGGCUCCCCAGACCAGAGCUGUGAAACCCCGACCGGAAGUGUCUCCAGAGGCUCAGCCCACACCCCGGCCCUCUUCUUUCCCUGACCCUUCUCUCUCUUCCUCGGCUGUCUCUUCCAGUUCUGGUCAGACACUCGACCCUUCUAAACUGGAACACGAUUCAGAGACACAGUCCUCUGAAUCUCUUUCUGUCUCCUCCACUUUCUCCUCUCCCUUAGUGACCCCCAUUUCCACAUCCACUCCGAUUGACAGCUGGCCCUCUGCUGCCACGAGCCAGGCCAGUUCUGAAGAGUCGCCUUCACUCCUUAAACCAGCGCUGCAAAAAGAGAGCUUAACACAAGUUCCAAAUACUGUUUCUUGGGCCGUGGGCUCACUUUCCAAGCAGCCGCCCAUCCCAGUAGGUGAAGGGACACAAGAUUCUCCAGGGAGGAGGACUGGCACCAACGACCCAGCCCAGUUGCCCCUGAUGAAGCCUGAAGUAGGACUAGAAGAAGAGCGUCUGAGGUCCCCCCCAGAGAACAAGAAGGCAGUCCUUCCCCAUUGGAAGAGGACCGAGAAGUACCAGCUGCCCUUCCGCGCAGAAGAGGCGGGAUUGAAAGCCCAGCCGGGAAGCCCCUGGUCAGGGAAGAUGCAGACUCUGUGGUUCAGCCAAGGUCUCCUGGGGGGGACACGGCUGGGGAUGUAGGGAUGAUUCCUGUGGUCAGAGAAGCGGUGUCCCCCCUUCACAUGGGGGUGUUUGUUCCCCUACCUGACUCCGCAAUGCAGAGACAGAAGGAGAUGGGGCUGGAUGUCCCUGAGGCUGGAAAGAAAAUCAAGAAGCGGGUGUCAUUUUCCAAGCAGCUCUUUACAGAAGAGGCAGUGGAGGAGGCACCAGCUCUGGUCCCCAGGGACAGAGGUGACCCCUAUGAGCGAUGCAAGAAGGGGCUGCCCCUGGAGAUGCCUGGCACAUGGGUGAUUCCCAGGAGGGGGAGGCUGUGGCUGAAGCUCUGCUGACCUCCUUGUGGCUCGAUCUCCCCUUCCGUCCCACCAUGGGGGUUCCUCAGAGGGUUCCCAGCAGGCCACCAGCUCAGGGAGAGACAUUCCACUCUCCAGGAUGGAGGGAGAUGAUAGCCGGAUGCCUGGAAAUCAGAGCAAAGCCACUGACCACGAGGGUCUGUUGUCUGAUCCCCUGCGAGGCUUCCAGUCUGCCUGUGGGGUGAAGUCCCCGCUGUGGCCCAGCUGGACUUGACACUGCCUUCUAUCCCCGAAGUCGCAUCAGAUGACGAGAGAGUAGACCAGCCUGAAGACGACAGGGGGGUGGCCAGGGGAGGGGGCACCUCUUCCCCAAGCACGUCACCUGCCCAUCCUGGCUGGUCAGCAGAGAGCCUGCAAGACCCUGGGCCAGAAGCAUCUGGAGCAUCCGCCCUGGCUUCUUCAGAGCAGACGGCAGCCUUGGCAGAUCAGAAACUGCAUCCGGGUGAGAGCCCAGGUGUGGAUGAGCAGCCGCUGGGCCCUGGUCAAGGCAUGGAGGCAAAGCCAGUGGAAAGUGGGAGGCCAGCUCAGCCUCCUGUUGCUGCCCUGUCUUCCCCCAUGUCCAGCCCGUCUUUUUCUGAGCCCUUUCCUGCCACACACUCUGCUCCUAGCUCUCCACACUCCGACACCCCUCACACCAGUACAGCAGAAUCUCAAAAAAAAGCAACCACAGAGGGCUCCGUGGGUAAGGUGGAAAAUUCUGGCAAGAGGAAGCCGCUCCUUCAGGCCUGGGUCUCACCCUCAGAAACACAGCCAGUCUCGGCUCAGCCCAGCGUUGGAACUGGGCCAGCCAAGAACAGACUUCAGCCUGUGAAGCCGAUGAAUACGACAGCCACCAAGGUUGUCAACUCCAGUCUGGGAACUGCCACCAUCAUCAGUGAGAACUCCAUCAAUGAGGCCAUGAUGAAGAAAUACAAGCCCUCGGACCCUGCGUUUGCUUAUGCUCAGCUAACACACGAUGAGCUGAUCCAGCUGGUCCUCAAACAGAAGGAAACAAUAAGCACGAAGGAGCUUCAGGUGCGCCAGUUGGAGGACUACAUCGACAACCUGCUGGUCAGGGUCAUGGAAGAGACCCCCAACAUCCUCCGGGUCCCCUCUCAGGUCGGCAGAAAAGCAGGAAAGAUGUGACUCAUCAGCCUCCGACCUUGAGCCUUUUCUUUGCGAGUUUGUUUCCACCUGCUCCUGAGGCCAAGGACUCGGUGUGCCUGCGAGCCGGCGCUCAGGCUCCAAAUCACCAUCUCCCUUGCUUGUUAUCUGGCGAGAGUCAACCCUACCCAUGGAAGCCAGGUUAAUUAUUACAAUGAAUCUUUUACUGUACAUUCCCAGGGUUUUUAAAUGCCACUGUGCCUUUAACCGUGUUGUAAGGAGUUUAUGCCCCGACCAGAGAUGGGGUUAGAAGAGCUGACCCUGGCCCAGAGGUUCGGGUGGCACUGGGGGUAUUAAGGUAUUUUAACAUUGGACUUUCUUCCUUUGAUGUUGAGAUUUUAAAGUACGUCUCCCCCAGUCAUUAAAGGUGGGGGUAAAAGGACCAGGACCAUGCCAUGGGGGCUGUACUGCGCAUCCUUUCUUGGCUUUUGAGUGGCUCAGGUGUGGCUUUUGGCUGCAGAUGCUAAAUUUUGAUACCAUGUAAAUCUACCUGGCUUCUGGACUUGGUCUUUUGUUUUGACCAGAGCAGAGGAAUUUAGGGAGCGCCUCGGGGUGUGCCUUUCAGAUUUGGAACCAGCUGCCUUCUCCAGACAUCAGCUGCCACUACUCUGUAGCCUUAAAUGUGCUCCUUGUCUAUCCAGAGGACUUCUCCAUGGGGGUCCACAAAGUAGACUGGGGGGUUAGAGUCACUUUACGCUUGAGGGAGUUGGUCAAAGUGUCCCCUCGUGAUCUCCAGGUUCCUGCUGGCUAGAGUGGCCGAGGCAGUGCCUUGAUAAGGGACCAGGUGAUCCAAGCAUUUACUAAAAUGGAUCCACCAGGUAUAGUACCACUGAUUGCAGCAGGAUCCCUUUGACCUUUGCCCCCUGUACCUUUGCUUGGCUCCCUCAUUUACCUGACAGCCCUUCCUGGCGUUUCCUCCCUUGUUAUAAAAUUAUCAAGAGCGAGAAUAUGACACUUAUUUGUAGAUUGCUGGGUUUGUGUGUGUGUGUGUGUGUGUGUUUUUCAUUUUUGGCCACCCCAUGGAAUAUGGAGUUCCUGGGCCAGGGAUUAGAUCUGACUCAUAGUUGUGACCUAAGCUGCAGCUGCUUCAGUGCUGGAUCCUUAACCCACUGUGCUGGGCCAGGGAUUGAACCUGAGUCCCAGAGUUCCAGAGAAGUGGCUGAUCCCAUUGUGCCACAGAGGGAACUCCUGUCUUUUUCUUUUUUCUUUUUUUGGCCACUCCCAUGGCGUUCAGAGGUUCUUGGACCAAGGAUCAAACCUGUGCCACAGCAGCAACCCAGGCCAGCUCCUUAAUCCUCUGAGCCACCAGGGAACUCUGGGUUGCAGUCUUUUUUAAAACUAGAUUAACGCAUGUACUUUUUUUUUUAAAUGAGGACACUUGCUCCCUUCUUAACUAAUAACAACAGUUCAGAUUCUUUAGUAACUGGGUACUGAAAUUAGAACGUUUCUGUAUUACUCAUUUUUUUCUCCUAGUUGUGACAGCAUCUCACCAAUACCAGGGGAAGAGUGUCACUGGCCCAUGGGGUGGGCAGUGGUCGAGACAAUAGCAGUAAUGAAAUUGGGACUCUCUUCUGUGUUCAUUUCUGGUAUUUGGAAGUUAAGAGGCAAGAGUAUUGGCAGCAGAAUCCCUUUUCAGGGUCACAGUUGCUGCCACAUCAGUUAAUAUCAGAGCACUUUAAUCCGAAGGAUGAUAUUGUAACUUGAUUUAGCUAAUUAGCUUUUAAUGAUCUACAGCUGUUUUAUUUAAUACUCUCCUACAGUACUGGGGACCACUGUAAACUUCUCAGACGACUUGUGUUUUUGUAGUGCUACGCAAUGUAUCUACAUCCCUCCAAAGAGAACUGUCUAUUCGCUAGAUCUCUGGAAAUGUACGUGUAUGUAUUUGUUCUGCAAUAUGUUUUUGACUUGAAGUAAAUGUGCUUUGACUGUGAGAGCCCUCGUGGACGGGGGUGGCAGGUGGGUGCUGAGUGGCUUCGGGAAGAACUGCCAUGGAGACCACCCCCCCUUCUUCCCAAGAGGUGGUGGUGGCUGUGGAGGGAUCUGCUGCUAGAACCAUGCUGGAGAGGGAGUCCCGGCAGAGGAGCAAAUUCCUCUGCCCUGAGAUGCCCUUGAGAACUCCGGAGAAUGAAGGACAAUUUGCUUCAAGAGUGUCUGGUUUCUUCCACUGCUUGGAAAAACAUUUUAUUACAUGUAGCAUUCCUGUUCCUCUCAAACAAAGUAGGUAACUUGGAGGUCACUGGUAGGCUGUCCUUAAGGACUCUACUGUGAAGGAGAACUCACCUAGGAAAGCUGGAGCCUGCUCUGAGCUGUUGGCCAAGGCUGACAGAUGAGAGGGCUGGAGCUCCUGCAGCUGGAGCUGCUCUGAGGGCUUACGCCCAUUCUUCUGCAGCAGGAGAGCCCAGAGUUUCCUCUAGCUGCUGAAAACACUCACCAAACUGACAGGCCCUGGGAGGAGACCAUGCUCUGCAAAAGCAGGAGCGGCUCCUUCUUGGCUUUGACUGGCUGCUUCCCCUGGGAGAGCAGUCAAUACUUCAGGGAAGCGGCCAAUGAAAUACUAAUGCCUUGCAAUGAACUUUGACUGGAGGUCAGCUUCCUGAAAACAUGGCAGUCCUUUGCCUGGUAGUUUCAUCUCAUCUCAUUGCUUGGACUUUGACAGAUGUCCUGUUCACCCCUUUUAUUUCCUGCAUGUCAGCCUCCCCGGAGGAGCAAGAACAUCUCCCCUUUGCCAUGUGAACAGCUGUUGACCCUGAGUGGAAGGUAUGUGUGGUUCCAGCUCUACUGACAGUGGGAGCUCAGAAGGUCACAGAAGAGUUAGGGACCAUGGCAUUCAGCCACCUGCUGGAUGGCAGGCCAGAGGCAAUUUGAUGUAAAUUAUGCACAGUCUUCCCUUCCUGCAGCCCUUCUCCUGACUGAAUUUUUUUCUUUUUUUUUUUUUACAACUACUCGCCAAUGAUCCACGAAGGCCAAACAAUCUCUUGCCUUAGGUGGAGAGCUCAACCUCCCGGUCACCAUACCAUCCUCCACUCUGUGGUUUCUUGGCAUCUAUUUUGUGAGCUACUAACUUGACCUAUUCCUCUCUCCCAGCAUUUUUGGAUUAUAGAAUUGUUAUUUCCUGCUUUGUUACUUUGGGAAUUUUGGAUUUCUUUGGUUUUGUUUUAAGCAGUAGCCUAAAUUUCCUACAACACUAAAUAAAUUGAUACUACCUUUCACAGA